GCAAGUCGAUGGGCAGCAUUACUGCUUGCAGUAGAUGGCGACCGGCGCACGGGUGCGUAACGCGUAUACAACUUACCCUUUACAGGGGGAUAGCCCGAGGAAACUCGGAUUAAUACCCCAUAACAUUAUGAUAUCGCAUGGUAUUAUAAUUAAAACUUCGGUGGUAAAGGAUGGGUAUGCGUAAGAUUAGAUAGUUAGUGAGGUAACGGCUCACCAAGUCUACGAUGUCUAGGGGUUCUGAGAGGAUGAUC
rnacentral:rRNA from 1 species